UUUAUGGCCAUACCACCCUGAAUGAACCUGACCUUGUCUCUUCUUGGAAGCUAAGCAGGGCAGGGUCUGGUUAGUACUUAGAUGGGAUUUAAGUAUGCAUUUGGGAGAAAGCUCCCAUCUGGACAGUCAGAAUAAAU
rnacentral:rRNA from 1 species